GAUGAACGCUGACAGAAUGCUUAACACAUGCAAGUCUUUAGCGAAGCUGUGCUUGCACCGCCUAGCCAAGGCGGACGGGUGAGUAACGCGUAAGGAACUUGCCCUGCAGUCAGGGAUAACAGACGGAAACGACUGAUAAGACCUGGUAAAGUCAGGCGGACUCAUGUCCAGCCUGAUGAAAAGUGAUGCUGCAGGAGAGCCUUGCGUCCUAUUAGCUUGUUGGUGGGGUAACGGCCCACCAAGGCGAUGAUAGGUAGCCGGCCUGAGAGGGUGGACGGCCACAAGGGGACUGAGAUACGGCCCUUACUCCUACGGGAGGCAGCAGUGGGGAAUAUUGGACAAUGGGGGCAACCCUGAUCCAGCAAUUCUGUGUGCACGAUGAAGGUUUUCGGAUUGUAAAGUGCUUUCAGCAGGGAAGAAAAAAAUGACGGUACCUGCAGAAGAAGCGACGGCUAAAUACGUG
rnacentral:rRNA from 1 species